AAAUCUUUGAAGAUGUGUGCUCGAGCUAUUAGUUCCAUUGUCAUGGUCAAAGCGGGUGUCAGUGUUCUGGUGAUAACUGGUUCCGAAUCUACAGUUUGAAUAAUUUACGGUUGGAAAACAUAUCACCUUCGCUGUAAUCAAUAGAUGUAGCAGCUUAAUGUUCAUAUUAGUCUUCAAUUUGCUUCACUAAUAUUUUGUUUUACUGAGCUACAAAACUAGUAAAAGCUGUUGGCGGCUGAGUUCCAAUAUCGGGCACGUUUUCAAGCUGAUCAUAAAGUUUUUCGGUGUACGAGAAAGGCGGAAAGGUAAAAUGGGCUUGAUAGCAGUAUACAAGACAGUAUUAUCCGAGUAAGAAGAAGCAAAAAAAGGACAGCAAGAUUGUUUGGGAUCAGCGUUCAUCUUCACUUACUGCUAAUACUGGUGAUCUCAUUUGUUUACGGCCACACUGGCGCCUGAAGGCGCCAACGCGAUGCAAUCGCAAUAUUUUUAUUAGAUAGCCUCGCAAGGAAUGAAAACGAGUUUUGCGACCAUUUCUAAAGAAAGAAUAUAAGAACGAGACAAAAAAAAACUUUUACUCUUUAUUGGAGAAACUUGAUAUUUGUUAAAUCACAGCUGGUUUGAUGAAAUUAUAGUGGAAAAAAAUGUUUUAAAUGCGUCACUAAACUCCAAGUCACUCUAAGUGGGGCCAAUAAAAACAAGAAGAAGAUGCGUCGCUAAAGCCCAAGAAUAUACAUAAAAAGUUCGGAUUGAAAUUGUAAAUUGAAAAAAAAAUAAUUAUUUACGAGAAUUAUUUAUUAUAUUUUUUCUAACUGAUGCAUACCAAUCAAAAUAUGAGAUUUAGCUUUAACUCACUAGCAGGGGCUGUAAGGACUAUGUCCAAUGCCAGAGACGAGCCAGCCUAGGACUGAAAAUCUCCUUAAUAAAGACACACAAAAAAAAAACUAUGUCCAAUGGCUUGACGACCCCUCCCCAGGCCACUGUAAGGGGCUUGCCUAGGACAUGAGGGAGUUUGACAGUGGGCUCGGUUCUCUGUUAAACUUCUAUAAAAAGCUGAAUGUAUCCGCAAGCAGCCUACACCAAAGCGAUCGUGCCCCGGUCAAAGCGCACUAGCCCAAGUCCUAGUGUUGGAUGGGACACUAAAAAGACCCUCGGAACUAAAAAGAGGACAACGGCAGAGGUUUACACAGGCGCAAUAAUAAACCAAGUGAAACGAAUAAUUACGAACGACAUAUGUAAGAGAUAUUUAAUAUGAUUCGAUACAAUCAGCAACUACAUAGGCGACGAAUAAAACACUACAAUUGGAAGCUUGGAUCAUGGAAUUGCAAGUCACUAGGUUUCGAAGGCUGCGACAGGAUAAUUGACGAUGAAUUACGAGGCGCUGCUGCACUGGGCAGAAAAUGUGGAAAAGCGGACAUCUUCUACCAAAACUGUGGAACCACCAACAAGCUGGGAGUCGGCUUAAUAGUGUUGUGUAAGAUGCGCGUAAUGCGCGUGGCAACCAAUUAGGGCAAGGAUGUGCAAGCUGAGGAAAAAUACCGUUUCUUCAACUAUAGUAUCAUCAACGUGCACUACUCACACGAAGGGCGACCCGACGAAGAGAAAAAAGUGUUUUAUGCACAGGAUAUCAUGAUCGUCAUCGGUGACAUAAACGAUAAGGGAGGAAAUGUACAGACCGGUGAUCGGACCGGAUAGUCUGCAUACCGUAUCGAAUAGCAACGGCCAACGAUGGAUAAACGUUGUAGCCUCUCGCGGAAUCGUAGUCCGAAGCACUUUCUGCCCACGCAAGAAUAUCCACAAGGCUACAUGGAGAUUACCUUACACAUGCAACAGAAAACCAAAUCGACCAUAUUAUGUUCGACGGAAAUUUAUUUUCCGACUUCCCGAACGACCACACUUUUUUGGCCAGAAAGGCCUGUGCAAUGCAUCAAAGUCUUCUCCAUUCAGCACGGUCCACGGCUGCACGUCGCCAAUCACGCAGGAUCCACCUUGCUGUGCAAAUUGCCUUUUUGCACCCAAAUUUUCAUCUACUCAGUGACUGAGUAAAAUUGUAUUGCCGUCG